UAAGGAAAGAAAGAAAAGAGGAAAGGAAAAAUGGAAAGAAAGAAGAAAGGAAAGAAGAAGGAGGGAAUAAAAGAAAAUUAAAAUAAAGGGAAGGGGAUUCCACUCACGUUGGAGUCUUGGAGACCUCUUCCCAGCCCAAGUGUGAAAGAAAGAAAAGAGAGAGAGAGAGAGAGAGAGAGAGAGAGGAGAAGAAAGGAAGAGAUUCAAGGAGGGCCAUACCUGUAGGGAGCGGAUCGAGAUUGCAAUCAAAGAACCUUUCGGCUGCCGUUGAGAAGACAAGCUAAUCGCAACAAGGUGAGCAUAUUUAGGGACUGUACACUCUACAAGAAAGGGACUAGAGAUCUGGUAAUUAUGUACAAGAAACCAAGACACAGUUGAUGGAGUAUGUGAGUGUGUGGACUGCACUGGAGGCCAGGAGCAACAUGAUGUUGAAAAGACGCAUGCCAAUUCUUUUUUUCAUUCUAAUGAUAGAAACAUUUAAUUAGUUAUUAUGAGAUAUUAAAUAACGGUGUUGGAUGAUAUAUUUUGAGUUGAUUUUAUUUUCUUCCCUUUGGACUUUGUUUCGAAACUUGAAAUAAAUAAUUGACGCUGUCAACAGGCAUUGAAGUAUUUAAA